rnacentral:rRNA from 1 species
UACGAAGGGGGCUAGCGUUGCUCGGAAUCACUGGGCGUAAAGCGCACGUAGGCGGCUUGUUAAGUCAGGGGUGAAAUCCUGGAGCUCAACUCCAGAACUGCCUUUGAUACUGGCGGGCUUGAGUUCGGGAGAGGUGAGUGGAACUGCGAGUGUAGAGGUGAAAUUCGUAGAUAUUCGCAAGAACACCAGUGGCGAAGGCGGCUCACUGGCCCGAUACUGACGCUGAGGUGCGAAAGCGUGGGGAGCAAACAGG